AUUGAACGCUGGCGGCAGGCCUGACACAUGUAAGUCGAGCGGAUGAAGGGAGCUUGCUCCUGGAUUCAGCGGCGGACGGGUGAGUAAUGCCUAGGAAUCUGCCUGGUAGUGGGGGAUAACGUCCGGAAACGGGCGCUAAUACCGCAUACGUCCUGAGGGAGAAAGUGGGGGAUCUUCGGACCUCACGCUAUCAGAUGAGCCUAGGUCGGAUUAGCUAGUUGGUGGGGUAAAGGCCUACCAAGGCGACGAUCCGUAACUGGUCUGAGAGGAUGAUCAGUCACACUGGAACUGAGACACGGUCCAGACUCCUACGGGAGGCAGCAGUGGGGAAUAUUGGACAAUGGGCGAAAGCCUGAUCCAGCCAUGCCGCGUGUGUGAAGAAGGUCUUCGGAUUGUAAAGCACUUUAAGUUGGGAGGAAGGGCAGUAAGUUAAUACCUUGCUGUUUUGACGUUACCAACAGAAUAAGCACCGGCUAACUUCGUG
rnacentral:rRNA from 1 species